rnacentral:rRNA from 1 species
ACCAGACUCCUACGGGAGGCAGCAGUGGGGGAUAUUGCACAAUGGGGGGAACCCUGAUGCAGCGACGCCGCGUGGGUGAAGAAGCGCCUCGGCGCGUAAAGCCCUGUCAGCAGGGAAGAAAAUGACGGUACCUGAAGAAGAAGCCCCGGCUAACUACGUGCCAGCAGCCGCGGUAAUACGUAGGGGGCAAGCGUUAUCCGGAUUUACUGGGUGUAAAGGGGGCGCAGACGGCGAUGCAAGCCAGGAGUGAAAGCCCGGGGCCCAACCCCGGGACUGCUCUUGGAACUGCGUGGCUGGAGUGCAGGAGGGGCAGGCGGAAUUCCUGGUGUAGCGGUGAAAUGCGUAGAUAUCAGGAGGAACACCGGUGGCGAAGGCGGCCUGCUGGACUGCAACUGACGUUGAGGCCCGAAAGCGUGGGGAGCAAACAGGAUUAGAUACCCCUGUAAA